GGGGAAAGAUUUAUCGCCAAAGGAUCGGCCCGCGUUAGAUUAGCUAGUUGGUGAGGUAACGGCUCACCAAGGCGACGAUCUAUAGCUGGUCUGAGAGGAUGAUCAGCCACACUGGGACUGAGACACGGCCCAGACUCCUACGGGAGGCAGCAGUGGGGAAUAUUGGACAAUGGGGGCAACCCUGAUCCAGCCAUGCCGCGUGAGUGAUGAAGGCCUUAGGGUUGUAAAGCUCUUUUACCAGGGAUGAUAAUGACAGU
rnacentral:rRNA from 11 species